rnacentral:rRNA from 1 species
AUUGAACGCUGGCGGCAGGCCUAACACAUGCAGGUCGAACGGUAGCACAGAGAGCUUGCUCUCGGGUGACGAGUGGCGGACGGGUGAGUAAUGUCUGGGAAACUGCCCGAUGGAGGGGGAUAACUACUGGAAACGGUAGCUAAUACCGCAUAAUGUCGCAAGACCAAAGAGGGGGACUUUCGGGCCUCUUGCCAUCGGAUGUGCCCAGAUGGGAUUAGCUAGUUGGUGAGGUAAUGGCUCACCAAGGCGACGAUCCCUAGCUGGUCUGAGAGGAUGACCAGCCACACUGGAACUGAGACACGGUCCAGACUCCUACGGGAGGCAGCAGUGGGGAAUAUUGCACAAUGGGCGCAAGCCUGAUGCAGCCAUGCCGCGUGUAUGAAGAAGGCCUUCGGGUUGUAAAGUACUUUCAGCGGGGAGGAAGGCAAUGCGGUUAAUAACCGUGUUGAUUGACGUUACCCGCAGAAGAAGCACCGGCUAACUCCGUG